rnacentral:rRNA from 1 species
AUUGAACGCUGGCGGAAUGCUUUACACAUGCAAGUCGAACGGCAGCACGGGGCAACCUGGUGGCGAGUGGCGAACGGGUGAGUAAUACAUCGGAACGUGCCCAAUCGUGGGGGAUAACGUAGCGAAAGUUACGCUAAUACCGCAUACGAUCUACGGAUGAAAGCGGGGGAUCGCAAGACCUCGCGCGAGUGGAGCGGCCGAUGUCAGAUUAGGUAGUUGGUGGGGUAAAGGCUCACCAAGCCAACGAUCUGUAGCUGGUCUGAGAGGACGACCAGCCACACUGGAACUGAGACACGGUCCAGACUCCUACGGGAGGCAGCAGUGGGGAAUUUUGGACAAUGGGCGCAAGCCUGAUCCAGCCAUGCCGCGUGAGUGAAGAAGGCCU